GCGCACGCUGGCGGCAGGCCUCACACCUGCAAGUCGCACUCACCUUUCGGGGUUAGUGGCGGACGGGUGAGUAACACGUGGGAACGUGCCUUUAGGUUCGGAAUAACUCAGGGAAACUUGUGCUAAUACCGAAUGUGCCCUUCGGGGGAAAGAUUAAUCGCCUUUAGAGCGGCCCGCGUCUGAUUAGCUAGUUGGUUGAGGUAAUGGCUCACCAAGGCGACGAUCAGUAGCUGGUCUGAGAGGAUGAUCAGCCACAUUGGGACUGAGACACGGCCCAAACUCCUACGGGAGGCAGCAGUGGGGAAUCUUGCGCAAUGGGCGAAAGCCUGACGCAGCCAUGCCGCGUGAAUGAUGAAGGUCUUAGGAUUGUAAAAUUCUUUCACCGGGGACGAUAAUGACGGUACCCGGAGAAGAAGCCCCGGCUAACUUCGUG
rnacentral:rRNA from 1 species